rnacentral:rRNA from 1 species
UGAGGAACAUGACCUUCGGCGGGGGAUAGCCGGCCCAACGGCCGGGUAAUACCGCGUACGACCGUUUGGGGACAUCCCCGAGUGGUGAGAGCAGCAAUGCGCCGAUGGAGUGCCUCGCGGCCUAUCAGCUAGUUGGUGAGGUAAUGGCUCACCAAGGCAACGAUGCGUAGCCGACCUGAGAGGGUNAUCGGCCACAUUGGAACUGAGACACGGUCCAGACUCCGUACGGGGAGCAG